GUUUUAAUAAUUUAAUAAAAAUAUCAAUCUUGUAAAUUGAAUUUAGGGUAAACCUUUAAAACU
rnacentral:tRNA from 1 species